rnacentral:lncRNA from 1 species
GUGAAGACCACAGUUUCCUGUCGCGUGGAUGUGUUUCCUCUCUGGCCAUUGCCAUCCGCCCAAAUCUACAGACAUCCCGCAUGUUCCCGGGCUCGUCUCCCCAAUACAGGGCACCAAGGCUGUAGACUGCGCAGCCCUCCUGGAGACAGAUGGAAGCUCCUUGGGUCGACAGAUUACAGCUUCUGGAACCCCCUACUCCCUUCAACUCCGAGAUGGACACCCACUGUCCAGGGAGAGGAUGCCUGGAAAUAACAGCUGGGAUCUACAGUGGCCAAAGAGUUGUCUCCGUCUUGCUACAUCGACAAACUGGUGCUCCUGAGUGAGGAUUGUGCCCUGGGAUGGGGGAUUCAGUUUCUUCAUUUAUAGUUGGAAGUGGGUGAAGUGCCAGGAGCGACGGUACACUCCAGAGUGCUGUGCCCUGAUGGGCCUUUGAGUGGCCAGUGCAGUGGAUCAUCAGCCCUGUCUCCCAAGAGCUCCAGUCCCUUCUCCGGAGAGGAAGUGGGUCCACUGGCAGCUCAGGAGGCCAUAGCAGGAUUGUCACGUGUGCUCAACAGUCCUCCUCGGCUUUCCAGAAGAGGCUGGAACAGGGCCCUUGAAGAUGUUUGUGGACAUCAGAGGGCCAAAGACGACACAAAGUGAAACUGGAGACACCGCCCCCCCUUGGCAUCAUGAAACUGCCGAUGUUACUGGCUCAUGCAUGGGAGACACCAGCAUACAAAGUCUUGACACCAACACCUCAGAGGGCUGUGUUCUGUCCCCGUGACCAUCAUCUAGUGCCUGGAAAGACUAGUGACAAGAACUUGUUGCCAACUUCCUAUUACCUCCCUAACAGUUGUGCAAUAAACCCCAUAGGUUAAUUCAGUCUGCCUUUUAAAUCUGUGUCAACCCAUGAAUUCAGGGCUAGGUGUGGAAAAGGAGGCUAGCUCCUGACACGCCUGUGACUUUCCUGUUCUUAAUGCCCCCUGAGGCUUGGGCUUCAGGGUGUUGGGAGUGGACAAGUAGGGCUGGUAGUCUAUAUGAUUUUAGGGCUUGUGAGAGUUGAGAUAGCUGAACAGAGAAGGUCAGAACUUGGGGAAGGUGCCUGUGUCAAUAAAAAAAGGCUGGGGUGUCACAGUCCUAGGAAGUGACGUAUCAUUGCUGAGAACUAGGGGUGUGAAUGGGCAAAUGGACUGGAAUAUAAAAUGUAGAGCAUUUUCCUGACAGGACAGGUUGCUGUAGACAGGAACGAGGGUAUGCUCAGUGACUGGCUUUGGAGGACCUUAAGGAACAGAAGUACUCUGGGUGGGGUGGAAGAGAAGAAAUGCCCUUGAGUGACUUGGAUACCAAUAGGGCCAAAGAGAAACUGGUAAAGAGGGUGUAAUUACUGAUGGAUUUAUAACUAGGACUUUUCUAUUGGAAGUGAAGGACCUGGGGAAGGCUUGGUAAGGCUGCUUACCAAGCUUAGAUCCCAGAACACAAACAGGUAAAUGGUACAUUUUUAAAACUAACACAUUUUUCUUGUCUGAGAAUUUCUAAAUUUUGAUUUUUAAAUUAAGUCUGUGUAGGGAGGUCUGCAGUUCACAGAAGGCAUAUGAUCACCGGACUGGGUGUUAGAGGUGGCCUUGAGCCUCCUGACAUGAAUGCUGGGGACUGAACCCGACCUCUGCAAGGACAGAAUUCAUGGACCAUCUCCAGGCCAGUGAAGAGCUUGAUAGCAGGCUGUAGGUGUGGACAGCUACGGUGCCCCUGGACUUGUGGGAACACCAAAGCUAGGGGUUGGUUUGUAAGGGGUUCGAGACAGGGUUUCUCUGUAGCCCUGGCUGUCCUGGAACUCACUCUAUAGACCAGGCUGGCCUCCAACUCAGAAAUCUGCCUGCCUCUCCUAAGUGCUGGGACUAAAAGCAUGUGCCACCACUGCCCGGCCUAGUUUUUUAUUUCAGAGAAAGAUUUUUGGAGUUAUUCUGAGUGGGGUGGUCUUUCCAUUCUGAGAAGGUAUUAGCUAAGAUUUGUCUUGAUACUUUUGCAGUUUUUUUUUUUUAAAGAUUUAUUUAUUAUUAUAUGUAAGUACACUGUAGCUGUUUUCAGACACCCCAGCAGAGGGAGUCAGAUCUCAUUACGGAUGGUUGUGAGCCACCAUGUGGUUGCUAGGCAUUGAACUCAGGACCUUCAGAAGAGCAGUCAGUGCUCCUAACCGCUGAGCCAUGUCUCCAGCCCCUUGUAGUGGUUUUUAAGCAUUCUAGAUAUCUGGAAUUUAAGCUAGAGAUGGUUCUAGAAAAGUUCUUGAAUUUUUAUGUGACAACUUCUAAUGUUACUGGGCCUCAUGAUGGAUGCUUACCAAGGCUGGGAUUGACAGUCAUUUAUCUUUAGAUUUUGGGUGUUCCCAUUAGCAUUGGUUACUAUACAAAUUUAUUUAAUAGAGUCUUGAAUGAUUAAGGAAGAGAAUGGAGCCCUCUACUGUUGGUUGGGAAGAACGUUAACAUUGGUACUGAAAGAUCCUGACAGAAUGUAAAAGGUCACAGAAGCCCUGAAAUUGACAAAAUAGAUUUCAUUGUUAGUAGAAGUAGCUUCACUGAUUUAGAAAAACAGAGGUGCACAGUGCUCUGGCCCCUUCUUGAAUCUGUGUCUGAAUGUUCUGACCGUUCCUUGAACCCAGCUGUGUGUCCACUGCUGCACCUCACUGCCAGGUGUUUGUGAUAUUGGUUGCUAAGAUAGAGUCAGAAAAUCUCCCCAGCAUUAGACUCUCCUUGUUUCCCUCCCAUACCCAUUUCUUAAGAAAUCAAUCAUUUUACAUUGUUUAGAUCUGGAAAUCCCCUACUCCCCUCUUCUCCUUUCCCCCCUGAGGACCUAUAAAAACUGGGACCCCUUUCCCCUCGGGGUCAACUCCUCUACCCCUGAGUGGGAUACGAGUCGUCCCCCGAGUUCUGGCUUUCCCCAAAUAAAGCCUCAUGUGGUUUGCAUCAAAAAAAAAAAAAAAAAA